CCGGUUUUAGCUCAGUGGUAGAGCAGCUGACUGUAGAUUGUAUCAAAAAGUCAUCAGCUGGUCGCUAGUUCAAUCCUGGCAAACCGGA
rnacentral:tRNA from 1 species